UCAAGCUACAAAGGGCGCAUGGUGAAUGCCUUGGCAUCAGGAGCCGAUGAAGGACGCGAUAAGCUGCGAUAAGCUUCGGGUAGACGCACAUAGUCAGAGAUCCGAAGAUUUCCGAAUGAGGAAACUCACAUGGGAAACCCCAUGUAUCAUAAAGUGAAUACAUAGUUUUAUGAAGGUAUACCCAGGGAACUGAAACAUCUAAGUACCUGGAGGAAGAGAAAGAAAAAUCGAUUUUCUUAGUAGCGGCGAGCGAAAAGGAAAGAGCCCAAACCAGAGAUUUAUCUCUGGGGUUGCGGACAGAACAUAACGAGAAAUCAUAGUUAAUUGAACACAACUGGAAAGUUGGACCACAGUGGGUAAUAGUCCCGUAAGUGAAAACUAUGAUAAUCAGUUCUGCACCAGAGUACCACGAGACACGUGAAACCUUGUGGGAAGCAGGGAGGACCACCUCCCAAGGCUAAAUACUACCUGAUGACCGAUAGUGAAGCAGUACCGUGAGGGAAAGGUGAAAAGAACCCCGGGAGGGGAGUGAAAUAGAACCUGAAACCAUGUGCCUACAACCGAUCAGAGCACCUUAUGUGUGUGAUGAUGUGCUUUUUGUAGAACGAGCCAACGAGUUACGGUAUGUAGCGAGGUUAAGUACUUAAGGUACGGAGCCGAAGGGAAACCGAGUCUUAAUAGGGCGACUAGUUGCAUGCUGUAGACCCGAAACCGGGUGACCUAUCCAUGGCCAGGUUGAAGCGAGGGUAAAACCUCGUGGAGGACCGAACCACGUUGCUGUUGAAAAAGCAUGGGAUGAGCUGUGGAUAGCGGAGAAAUUCCAAUCGAACUCGGAUAUAGCUGGUUCUCCUCGAAAUAGCUUUAGGGCUAGCGUCGGAAAAUGUGAGUAGUGGAGGUAGAGCACUGAAUAGGCUAGGGGGCAUAGCGCUUACCGAACCUUAUCAAACUCCGAAUGCCACAUACUAUCAGUCCGGCAGUCAGACUAUGAAAGAUAAGUUCCAUGGUCAAAAGGGAAACAGCCCAGAUCGUCAGCUAAGGUCCCAAAGUGUAAGUUAAGUGGAAAAGGAUGUGGGAUUUCUAAGACAACUAGGAUGUUGGCUUAGAAGCAGCCACUCAUUAAAAGAGUGCGUAAUAGCUCACUAGUCAAGAGAUCCUGCGCCGAAAAUGUCCGGGGCUCAAACUUACCACCGAAGCUACGGGUUCACGCAUUAGCGUGAGCGGUAGAGGAGCGUCGUAAUCGGGCUGAAGUCGUACCGUAAGGAGCGGUGGACUGAUUACGAGUGAGAAUGUUGGCAUUAGUAGCGAGAUGUAGGCGAGAAUCCUACAGGCCGAAUAUCUAAGGUUUCCUGAGUAAAGUUUGUCUUCUCAGGGUUAGUCGGGACCUAAGGCGAGGCCGAAAGGCGUAGUCGAUGGACAAUUGGUUGAUAUUCCAAUACCACUAUAAUCGUUAUUAUCGAUGGUGUGACGGAGAAGGAUAGGAUGUGCUAGCUAUUGGAUGCUAGUCUAAGCGUUUAGGGAGUUGGGAUUGGCAAAUCCGUUCCAACAAUUCUGAGGCGUGAUGGGGAAGGUUCUACGGAACCGAAGUAUCUGAUUCCAUGCUUCCAAGAAAAGCAUCUAGAAAGAGAAGUAGUGCCCGUACCGCAAACCGACACAGGUAGAUGAGGAGAGAAUCCUAAGGCCGACGGAAGAAUUGCAGUUAAGGAACUAGGCAAAUUGACCCCGUAACUUCGGGAGAAGGGGUGCCUGAGAAAUCAGGCCGCAGAGAAUAGGCACAAGCAACUGUUUAACAAAAACACAGGUCUCUGCUAAAGCGAAAGCUGAUGUAUAGGGGCUGACGCCUGCCCGGUGCUGGAAGGUUAAGGGGAACACUUAGCAAAGUUUUGCGAAGGUGUGAACUUAAGCCCCAGUAAACGGCGGCCGUAACUAUAACGGUCCUAAGGUAGCGAAAUUCCUUGUCAGGUAAGUUCUGACCCGCACGAAUGGCGUAAUGACUUGUGCACUGUCUCAACUGCAAAUCCGGCGAAGUUGUAGUGCGAGUGAAGAUGCUCGCUACCCGCGAUUGGACGGAAAGACCCCGUAGAGCUUUACUGUAGCUUAGCAUUGAAUUUCGGUAUUGUCUGUACAGGAUAGGUGGGAGACUGGGAAACUAGGGCGUCAGCCUUGGUGGAGUCGUUGUUGGGAUACCACCCUGAUAGUAUUGAAGUUCUAACUGGAUGCCAUGAAACUGGUGACAGGACAUUGUUAGGUGGGCAGUUUGACUGGGGCGGUCGCCUCCUAAAAUGUAACGGAGGCGCCCAAAGGUUCCCUCAGAACGGUCGGAAAUCGUUCGAAGAGUGUAAAGGCAGAAGGGAGCCUGACUGCGACACCUACAAGUGGAGCAGGGACGAAAGUCGGGCUUAGUGAUCCGGUGGUACCUCGUGGGAGGGCCAUCGCUCAACGGAUAAAAGCUACCUCGGGGAUAACAGGCUGAUCUCCCCCAAGAGUUCACAUCGACGGGGAGGUUUGGCACCUCGAUGUCGGCUCGUCGCAUCCUGGGGCUGAAGUAGGUCCCAAGGGUUGGGCUGUUCGCCCAUUAAAGCGGCACGCGAGCUGGGUUCAGAACGUCGUGAGACAGUUCGGUCCCUAUCCGUCGCGGGCGUAGGAAAUUUGAGAGGAGCUGUCCUUAGUACGAGAGGACCGGGAUGGACUGACCUAUGGUGUACCAGUUGUUUCGCCAGAAGCAUAGCUGGGUAGCUAAGUCGGGAAGGGAUAAACGCUGAAAGCAUCUAAGUGUGAAGCCCACCUCAAGAUGAGAUUUCCCAUAGCAUAAGCUAGUAAGACCCCUUGAAGACUACAAGGUUGAUAGGUCAGAGGUGUAAGUAUGGUAACAUAUUUAGCUGACUGAUACUAAUAGGUCGAGGGCUUGACCAA
rnacentral:rRNA from 1 species